GCUCACUCCAAGCUGCACCAACACAGGGCUGUGGGAAGCUGCAUGACUCGACUCCAACCCUCUACAUAGACAACUCCUGACUGGGCACCUCUGGCUUGGACCUAACAUCCUUUGAUUAACUGUGACAACUUUAUUUGCUUGAGACC